rnacentral:rRNA from 1 species
AGUCGACGAUGAAUCUUCUAGCUUGCUAGAAGUGGAUUAGUGGCGCACGGGUGAGUAAUGCAUAGGUUAUGUGCCCUUUAGUCUGGGAUAGCCACUGGAAACGGUGAUUAAUACUGGAUACUCCCUACGGGGGAAAGUUUUUCGCUAAAGGAUCAGCCUAUGUCCUAUCAGCUUGUUGGUGAGGUAAUGGCUCACCAAGGCUAUGACGGGUAUCCGGCCUGAGAGGGUGAUCGGACACACUGGAACUGAGACACGGUCCAGACUCCUACGGGAGGCAGCAGUAGGGAAUAUUGCUCAAUGGGGGAAACCCUGAAGCAGCAACGCCGCGUGGAGGAUGAAGGUUUUAGGAUUGUAAACUCCUUUUGUUAGAGAAGAUUAUGACGGUAUCUAACGAAUAAGCACCGGCUAACUCCGUGCCAGCAGCCGCGGUAAUACGGAGGGUGCAAGCGUUACUCGGAAUCACUGGGCGUAAAGAGUGCGUAGGCGGGGUAAUAAGUCAGAUGUGAGAUCCUGUAGCUUAACUACAGAACUGCAUUUGAAACUGUUACUCUGGAGUGUGGGAGAGGUAGGUGGAAUUCUUGGUGUAGGGGCAAAAUCCGUAGAGAUCAAGAGGAAUACUCAUUGCGAAGGCGACCUGCUGGAACAUUACUGACGCUGAUGCACGAAAGCGUGGGGAGCAAUCAGGAUUACAUACCCUGGUAGUCCACGCCCUAAACGAUGGAUGGUAGUUGUUGCCUUGCUUGUCAGGGCAGUAAUGCAGCUAACGCAUUAAGCAUCCCGCCUGGGGAGUACGGUCGCAAGAUUAAAACUCAAAGGAAUAGACGGGGACCCGCACAAGCGGUGGAGCAUGUGGUUUAAUUCGAAGAUACGCGAAGAACCUUACCUAGGCUUGACAUUG